rnacentral:tRNA from 1 species
AACUUAUGAGCUUGAAUAAGCAUGUAUUUUGAAAGUACAAUAAAGAAUUUAACUUCUAUAAGUUU